UACGUAGGGGGCAAGCGUUGUCCGGAUUUAUUGGGCGUAAAGAGCGUGUAGGCGGCCAGGUAGGUCUGCUGUGAAAACUCGAGGCUCAACCUCGAGAUGUCGGCGGAAACCAUCUGGCUAGAGUCCGGAAGGGGAGAGUGGAAUUCCUGGUGUAGCGGUGAAAUGCGCAGAUAUCAGGAAGAACACCCGUGGCGAGGGCGGCUCUCUGGGACGGUACUGACGCUGAGACGCGAAAGCGUGGGGAGCGAACAGG
rnacentral:rRNA from 1 species